GAAGCCCUGUCUCAGAGGCAAGACAAGAUUCAUUCCAACUUUCACCUUGGUGUUGGCUGGAGACCUUUGGAAGAAGAGAAGCCGAAGCUAGCAGAGGCAAAAGAUUAGCAGCAAGAGCUUUUGGAACCAAGCAGAGAGAUAGGUCUCUAAGAAAACUGACCAGGCUAUUUUGGAGGAAGCAAUAAAAGAUCUGAACUUUUAACACCUGCUGCAUUUGGAGUUAUUAUUACUUUCAACUGAAACUAAGGCUGCCUCCAGAAAACCUCCCCAAGAAACCUGCUCCCAGAGAAAAACAUUAUAUUUUAAAGAAGAGAACACCACAAACAUUUGCUCAUCUAUAACAACACAAGAUACCAUAAACAUAUUUUUUAAAAGGGCAUUUGGUCUUAAGUGAUUUAGUCCAUAAUGCAACCAUUCUGCUAUGGCUUAACAUCUCUCUCCUGAGAGACAUCCAUUUCCUAAAAUAAGCAAAGAAAACAGAUGCAAAUAACAGCUGUUCUGUGAUAUGAUAAUCAGUUGAUCAAUAAGUGUUUAGUAAACUUCUACAAUGAACAUAGCAAUUUGUAAUGUCUUCAAGAUAGAAAAAGAAGCAAAAAAAUAGGUUCCAAUCUCAAGGAACUCAAAAGUGAAUGGAGCAGAAACAUUGAGGAAAAACAACAAGGACAAAACUAAACAAAACAAAACAAAAACAAGGACAUCCAAGAAAAAUAAAAUUAUGGAAAAAAAAAAAGUUAACCAAGUAGAAAAGGAGGUGCAGAGUCUCAAAGAUUAAAAUAACUCUGUGAAAAUUAUAAUUGGGCAAGGGGAAAUCAGUCAAACUAUGAGAGACCAAGAAAUAACAAAACAGAUUAUAAGGAAUAAAAAAUUAGAACAAAGUGAAGCAUAAGAAAAAUGCCAGAUCUGGAGAACUGAUUGAGGAGAAAAUAUAAGAAAAUUUGGACUGCCUAAAAGUUGUGACCAAAUAAAAAGACCUUGACACAGAAAUGCAAGAAAUAAUCCAAGAAAAUUGUCCUGGAGUAAUAGAAUAUAAGGGGAAAGUAAAAAUAGAAAAAAAUUCCACCAAUCACCAUCUCAAAGGAAUCCUCUGUGCAAAACAUAUAGGAACAUUACUGCCAAAUUUUGAAACUUCCAGAUUAAAAAGAAUAUUCUGAACUAAAGAAGAAAAAAAAAAUCAAAUAUGAUGGAACUACAACUGGAAUUAUACAGGAUUUAUCAGCAGCCACAAUAAAAGAUUGCAGGUCCUGGAAUCUCAUCUACCAACAAUCAAAAGAACGAGGUCUGCAGCCAAAAAUAUCACAAUCAGCAAAAUUAUCUAUAAUUUUAAAUGAGAAAAAAUGGACAUUCAAUAAACUUGCAGAUUUUCAGGACCUUCUAUCAACCAUGCCUGAACUUAAUAGAAAAUUUAAUAUAUAAGAGCCAAUAUUAAAGAUCAGUUUCAAGAAA